GGAUAGUUCCUUGAACCGCAUGGUUCAAGGAUGAAAGACGGUUUCGGCUGUCACUUACAGAUGGACCCGCGGCGCAUUAGCUAGUUGGUGAGGUAACGGCUCACCAAGGCGACGAUGCGUAGCCGACCUGAGAGGGUGAUCGGCCACACUGGGACUGAGACACGGCCCAGACUCCUACGGGAGGCAGCAGUAGGGAAUCUUCCGCAAUGGACGAAAGUCUGACGGAGCAACGCCGCGUGAGUGAUGAAGGUUUUCGGAUCGUAAAGCUCUGUUGUUAGGGAAGAACAAGUGCAAGAGUAACUGCUUGCACCUUGACGGUACCUAACCAGAAAGCCACGGCUAACUACGUGCCAGCAGCCGCGGUAAUACGUAGGUGGCAAGCGUUGUCCGGAAUUAUUGGGCGUAAAGGGCUCGCAGGCGGUUUCUUAAGUCUGAUGUGAAAGCCCCCGGCUCAACCGGGGAGGGUCAUUGGAAACUGGGAAACUUGAGUGCAGAAGAGGAGAGUGGAAUUCCACGUGUAGCGGUGAAAUGCGUAGAGAUGUGGAGGAACACCAGUGGCGAAGGCGACUCUCUGGUCUGUAACUGACGCUGAGGAGCGAAAGCGUGGGGAGCGAACAGGAUUAGAUACCCUGGUAGUCCACGCCGUAAACGAUGAGUGCUAAGUGUUAGGGGGUUUCCGCCCCUUAGUGCUGCAGCUAACGCAUUAAGCACUCCGCCUGGGGAGUACGGUCGCAAGACUGAAACUCAAAGGAAUUGACGGGGGCCCGCACAAGCGGUGGAGCAUGUGGUUUAAUUCGAAGCAACGCGAAGAACCUUACCAGGUCUUGACAUCCUCUGACAACCCUAGAGAUAGGGCUUUCCCUUCGGGGACAGAGUGACAGGUGGUGCAUGGUUGUCGUCAGCUCGUGUCGUGAGAUGUUGGGUUAAGUCCCGCAACGAGCGCAACCCUUGAUCUUAGUUGCCAGCAUUCAGUUGGGCACUCUAAGGUGACUGCCGGUGACAAACCGGAGGAAGGUGGGGAUGACGUCAAAUCAUCAUGCCCCUUAUGACCUGGGCUACACACGUGCUACAAUGGACAGAACAAAGGGCUGCGAGACCGCAAGGUUUAGCCAAUCCC
rnacentral:rRNA from 1 species